rnacentral:rRNA from 1 species
UACGUAGGUGGCGAGCGUUGUCCGGAUUUACUGGGCGUAAAGGGAGCGUAGGCGGACUUCUAAGUGAGAUGUGAAAUACUCGGGCUCAACUUGAGUGCUGCAUUUCAAACUGGAAGUCUAGAGUGCAGGAGAGGAGAAUGGAAUUCCUAGUGUAGCGGUGAGAUGCGUAGAGAUUAGGAAGAACACCAGUGGCGAAGGCGAUUCUCUGGACUGUAACUGACGCUGAGGCUCGAAAGCGUGGGGAGCAAACAGG